CCUACGGGAGGCAGCAGUAAGGAAUAUUGGUCAAUGGAGGCAACUCUGAACCAGCCAUGCCGCGUGCAGGAUGAAGGCCCUAUGGAUCGUAAACUGCUUUUACACAAGAGAAAACCCCGGUACGUGUACCGGGUUGAUAGUAUUGUGAGAAUAAGCAUCGGCUAACUUCGUGCCAGCAGCCGCGGUAAGACGAAGGAUGCAAGCGUUAUCCGGAUUCAUUGGGUUUAAAGGGUGCGUAGGCGGACUUGUAAGUCAGUGGUGAAAUCUCUUUGCUUAACAAAGAAACUGCCAUUGAUACUGCAGGUCUAGAGUAUAGAUGACGUUGGCGGAAUAUGACAUGUAGUGGUGAAAUACUUAGAUAUGUCAUAGAACACCGAUUGCGAAGGCAGCUAACGAAACUAUAACUGACGCUGAGGCACGAAAGUGCGGGGAUCAAACAGGAUUAGAUACCCUGGUAGUCCGCACCGUAAACGAUGAUUACUCGUUGUUGGCAAUAUGACCGUCAGCGACCGACGACGAAGACGAGUAAGACAACUACCACCGUACGGGUACGGUACGGACCCGGCCGACCGGUACGGAACGUACGAAACGAAGUUAGUACGGACGUUAGAGACGUUCGCCGACGGACGACGACGAGGGAGGAGG
rnacentral:rRNA from 1 species